rnacentral:misc_RNA from 1 species
CGGCGCGUCUUUAAACCAUGCGUCGGGAGCGCGGCGGGUUCAGGAUGAACGGCAAUGCUGCUC